rnacentral:rRNA from 1 species
GGUUAAGCUAGAAAGGGCGCACGGUG